rnacentral:rRNA from 1 species
CAUUCACGGAGAGUUUGAUCCUGGCUCAGGACGAACGCUGGCGGCGUGCUUAACACAUGCAAGUCGAACGAUGAAGCCCUUCGGGGUGGAUUAGUGGCGAACGGGUGAGUAACACGUGGGCAAUCUGCCCUGCACUCUGGGACAAGCCCUGGAAACGGGGUCUAAUACCGGAUAUGACCGUCCAUCGCAUGGUGGAUGGUGUAAAGCUCCGGCGGUGCAGGAUGAGCCCGCGGCCUAUCAGCUAGUUGGUGAGGUAGUGGCUCACCAAGGCGACGACGGGUAGCCGGCCUGAGAG